GUUGCAUCGUUACCUACAUGGGCGGCCCCGUCGGCUCCGCCGCCGAUUAGAGCCAUCUUUUUCUUUCCUUUCUGGAUAAGUUUUUGUUCCUAUCCUUUUCAUCUUUUCUCUUUGGUGAGUUCUAAGAUUUAUCGGCGUUUCUCUCGCCGUGCCUUUCUGGCUUCCGUCGGCUCCGUGCUGUUCAUUGUUGUUUUGAUUUGUUCGUUUCCUUUCCUUUCUGCCGGUGUUGCCGGAUAUGGACAUUAUCCUUUACUGUCUUUGAUUGUUCCUGCCCUGUGGACCUUUGCGCCGCCGUCCCCCAGCGUCCUUCCUAGCUACCGCAGCUGGGGUUCCUCAAGGAUCUCCUCCAUCGGAACGAAUCAGAUUUCGUCAAGUGCGUGUGCGCCUCCGCCGCUGGUGCCCAAGAGGAGGCCUUCCCCGGCAGCGUCGCGACACCGCGGGGCGCCGACGUCCUUGCUGCCCGCGCCCCUGUACUGGUCCUAGCACGGUGGCGCCGCCAGGCCAGGGGGCGCCGAGGUCUGCGGCGCACACGCACAUGGGCGGGGCCUGCGGCGGCGGCGGCGCGAGGUCGCGGGGCGCCGAGGUCGUAGGCGCACGCGCGGCUCUCCGAGGCCCGCCGUGCCGGACCCGACGAGUUGCGGUGCCGCUUAUAUUGCUACGCUGAUCUGAUAUUUUCCUUUUUUUUUUGCUCAGGUUCCGCCCGCCUGUUCUGUGCCGUGGCCUUCGUGGUUCCAGGUCCUUUGGCCCUCCUGUUGGCGCCUACUCUAGGUGAGGUUGGGGUUUUGAUUUUACUGCCCUUCAGUGCGUGCCCAUAUUAUGCUGCCGUGGUUCCUUUAGAUAUUUGGCUUCUCUCAUUGCGACUGGUUUUCCUUCCGUCCAUAGGCCCUGUAUGGAGUUCUAUUGUUCCAUUUUAUAUGUAUUGUAUGCAUGCAGACCUUAUCAUCUUAUCUAUACUGAACCAUUGCUUGCUGUGUGUUUCUUCUACGUCACUUUGCUUUCUUUCAUUUCUCACAGUGUGAAGCAUAAUUUGCUCUGUUGCAUCUGCUCGGUUGUGAAGUAUGUGCUUUGCCAUUUCAUUACUGCUCUGCUCAUUUUUUUUCCUGCAAUAGUCAUGACCUUGGUAAAUUAUUUGAAUGUACCGUGCUCUUGCUGCUACUAGGUUCGUAAUUUAGUUUAAUAGUGGCCCUUUGUACUCAGCAUAUUGUCGUUGUGUAGUGACCUUUAUUUUGAGGUGCUCUCAUUCGUCCUAUUCCGCCUUUAAAUUGUUGUUGUCGUUGGCCUCCACUUUUGGUUGGGUCCUGACUUGCUAAAUUGCUUCAGUGCUAUGUGUUUUUUUCCCUAUGCAUCUAUUCCUCUAUGUGGUUUGCUUAGCUGUCCUGAAAUUUAUUUCAAUGGCUCCUAAAAGGCCAAAAAAAAACUUUGUCAAUUGCGUCCGCAUCGUCUUCUACGUCAGGCCAUUCUGUGUCGUCUGUUGAUCGUGUGCGUCGUAGAGGUCGAGCAGGGUAUCAUGGCCAUUAUGGCCAUCGUGUGCGCACUGAUUUUAUCCAAGGCCACCCAGCUGCAUUCUUAAGUGCAGGUCUGUGGUUUUCUAAAGGUCAUCUUGGUUCACUAUGACUCAUUUUGUGCUCGGUUGCUCCAUGUUUGCCUGUUUGCUCGGUGUGUGCCAUUAUUGACUUGCUCACUUGUUAUUUAUUUAUAUCUUUGCCAACAAGUAUGGUUGUCUUAUUUCCCUUCCUGCUCUAUCGCUCUAUCAGGUGCAGCCUCUUCGGCUGUUCCUUCAUGGGGCAUCAUCAUCAGUUAGUGCCUUCCCCUCUGUCUACUGUACAUUCUCGACCACAUAGAAUUCCAAUCCUUUACUCAGUUGAUCUAUGGUGAUGUUGUAAAUAUAGGAGACCACUACUGUCCGUUAGUGCCCCAUGUUGACUCAAACAAGAAUCAUGUCAAAAGAAUGUGUUAUAAUAGAGUCAAGGUAGCAGCGAGGCAAGGUUCGUGCCUUUCCUCAUUGCUUGCCUGUUUUCAUUGUUAGAAAAUUCUGAGAUCCAAGUUCCUGCAGGAACCAAGGCUCCUCAAUCAUCUGAAAGCAACCUCCCGUCAACUCCGGUGUCACUUGCAGACCUAGAAAAAACCCAGGUUCCUGACCCAAAGACCAAAAAGACCAAGGGUUCAAAUGAUGACCAAUCUGAUAGCACCAGAAAAAAUGAUCCAGGUGAUAUCCAUACAUCAGCCCAGAAGAGGACCAGGAGACAGCUACACCUCACUGAUCCAGAUGACCAGGAUUAGUGCAGGGUAGACAUGGACUUGAUAAGCACCUUCUAUUUUGCCAACGAACCUGAUGCAACUACACCAAUGCAUGCUGCUGCCUACCAAUCUACGAAGGCCUAGCGUACCUCUACCAUAUGUAAAUUAAAUAGUACAUGAAGGCUUCGUAGCCACAACACUUUAUAUCUGUAUUAGGUAGUUUCCCCUGUGUAUUAGGUAGUGAAUUAUAGUUCCUACCAGUUCUUAACAGUCCAGCAGUGUCCUC